rnacentral:rRNA from 1 species
UUGAACUGAAGAGUUUGAUCCUGGCUCAGAUUGAACGCUGGCGGCAUGCCUUACACAUGCAAGUCGAACGGCAGCACGGGCUUCGGCCUGGUGGCGAGUGGCGAACGGGUGAGUAA